rnacentral:rRNA from 1 species
GAUGAACGCUGGCGGCGUGCCUAAUACAUGCAAGUCGAGCGAACAGACGAGGAGCUUGCUCCUCUGACGUUAGCGGCGGACGGGUGAGUAACACGUGGAUAACCUACCUAUAAGACUGGGAUAACUUCGGGAAACCUGAGCUAAUACCGGAUAAUAUAUUGAACCGCAUGGUUCAAUAGUGAAAGACGGUUUUGCUGUCACUUAUAGAUGGAUCCGCGCCGCAUUAGCUAGUUGGUAAGGUAACGGCUUACCAAGGCAACGAUGCGUAGCCGACCUGAGAGGGUGAUCGGCCACACUGGAACUGAGACACGGUCCAGACUCCUACGGUGGGCAGCAGUAGAGAAUCUUACGCGAUGGAGGAAAGCCUGACAGAGCAACGCCGCGUGAGUGAUGAAGGUCUUCGGAUCGUAGAACUCUGUUAUUAGGGAAGAACAAAUGUGUAAGUAACUAUGCACAUCUUGACGGUACCUAAUCAGAAAGCCACGGCUAACUACGUG